rnacentral:lncRNA from 1 species
UAACCUAUAUAUUGAACUUUUUUUUUUUUUUUGUGAUCCCCUUCAGAUCAGACAUAUCCAGGUUCAACUGUAUUACACACUAGCUAGACCCGCCGUGGUUGGCUUAGCAGCUAUGGUGUUGCUCUGCUAAGCACGAGGUCGUGGUAUCAAAUCCCAGUCACAGUGGCCACAUUUUGAUGAGGGCAAAAUGCAAACAUGCCAGUAUCCCAUGCAUUGGGGGCAUGUUAAAGAUCACCUAGUGGUCAAAAUUAAUAUUUGAUAUUUUUGACUACUGGAGACUAAUGAAGCAUUUUGCAACAACCUACUGUUAAAGUCUUGAUAGUGUUCUUUGGUCUGUUAAACAGAGUAUUGCAAAUUAUCAGAAGGGAAACAACGACAAAAGUUUUUGAAGCACUGCAGAUACAAAAUGGGUAAUGCUAGCUUUGUUUUUGGCUUCGGAGUGGAAGCCUACGGGAUAAGCAUUAUUUUUGCUUGUAGUAAGUUAUUUAGUGUACUUGAAAGUAGCAGUCUUAUCUUUACAUUGCAACCAGUGAUGUUUUCCUCGCAAUGGGUCCAUUUGCAUUGACGGUGCACUGACACAUGAGCCAUGUAGAAUCCCCCUUAUUACAAUGGAAAGAUGCAAGCACAUGGGCACCUCGCCACGCACUGCACUUCAUGCAAGUGCAACCCUGUCUUCCACAGGACAGUGAUUCUGCUCAAAUGUAGGAACCAAAGAAAAAGAUAAGUCGGUGAAGCCUACCAUAGCCUCCUCUAUAACUUUUCGAGGAGGCUAUGAGCCUACAUCAAGAUGGCCCCAAUAAAAGUAAACCGCAAAUAAACUCUCUAAAAUCAAGAUUUGUUAUUUUCAGCUCUGGCCAACAUGUCAUAAAUGUUUCAAUUGGGCAGCAUCUGAUUAACGCGAGUGAUUAUGCCACAUAGCUAGGAGUCAAAUUAGACCGCAGUUUUAAAUUCCACUAUCAAGUUGCAUGCAUAAAAAAAAAGGAAAUGAUUUGCGGCAUGAGAGUCUUCACCAGAGCGUGUGCUCAUUUCAUCCCUAAUGCACUAUUGUCACUCUGUUAAGCAUUUCUUUUUUUCACAUAACUACGCUGUGGCCAUCUUGGGGAAACAAAUAUAAUACUCGUGUAAACUCAUUCACAAUCAAGCCAUCAGGGUAGUAACUUGCAGCUCUUAGAACGCUAAUGCAAGAGAACUGCUCAGAACUAAUAACAUGCUCACCGUACCUCAGAUAAUAAACUAUAAUUUAGACAUCUUGUAAGCUGAUAGGCAAUCAGCUCCCAGUAGUCCUGAUUUCAGAAUCAUCUUUACUGAAUGCUAACAUUACAAGAUUUGCAUCUAACAAAAAAUUUUAUCUUGCCCAAAGUGCGGACUAAUCAUAGCAAAUUCAGAUUUCAUUUUUCUUGCAUUUCACUCUGGAACUAUUUGGCUCUAAUUAUAAAAAAAAAAAAGUGUAAGACCACAUGCUAAUUAAAAUUAUCAUAAAAUGUUCUUGAAUUAAUUGCUGUAAUUUCUGUACAGAUUCUUGUGCGUCUUCUCUUUUUUUUUUGUUUUGCUCAUCUUGUAACAUUGUUUUUGAAACUUCUUUCUAGGUUGGCACUUUAGCUUACUUUCACGUAUAUUGCUCAUAGUUUUGUGUAUACAUCUUACGUAUAUUGCUCAGUCAUUGUUUUAUCAUUUGAUGUCUUUGUAAUUGGAAUAUAUCUAUGUGCAUUUUUCUUGUUAUGCUUGUUAUUUGCGUGUAGUUCAUGUUUGAUAUACAUCUGUAGGUACUCACCUUCCUGUAUUUUUUUACGUGCAUUUUUUAAAUUUCUUUGUGUAUUUUCAUUUAACUUGUUCUCUCUGGUACUUGCCCUAUUCUUAUAUGAGCAUUACGUUAAUACCAUGGUUUUGCUUUAUUUUGCUGCCAUAUAAUCAUUCCUCUCAUCAUCUAACCUUGACCGGAGGUCCCAAUACAGUCUUUGACUAUGGGACCUCAUUGUGUAUUUCAUAUUUAUCAAAACUUGUAGCCACUUUGUGAAGCAAUGAAUCCUGAAAUUGUGAAAUGUGAUCUGGUACAAUGUAAGAAACGCCUUUGGGUAUUCAAGCUGAUAAUUUACACGAAUUUGAGACGUUCUUGUUUUCUUUGACAGGUGGAGACCAACGAUGCAGUUGAUCUUGGGACUCUUACAAGGGGUGGCUGGAAUCAUGCCACUUUUCUAAACAAACACGUUACUGCCUGGCCGCUGCACUUUAAAGGGACACUAAUGAGAAAGAUCAUUUGACCUGCAUUAGUGUAAAUUGUCCUUUUACAACACCAAAAACACUACUCUUACCGCAAGAAGAUGCUCGUUUCUUGGAGGCUCUGUGUUCUUCCUCUGCUGUUCUCCCUAAAAGUUCAGUGUGAAGUUUUGAAUACUCGAUGCCUGAAGUCAGCUUGUUCAUGAUCUAUAUAAGAAAAUACAGGCAUACGACAAGCAACAUGUGGAUCUGUCUAAAUUACGUAAACAUGCACUGGAAGUACUGCAGACUUCGCUAUAAACAGGACGACUUACCGUUUGUGAGUACUAAGUUCAACAUUACUAAUGAAGAAAAUCAAGUUUGCUUUAUGGAGCUCUUAUGAUCGGUAUAUUGCAGUACCAUUGAUAAGUGUUACUGGUAGUACCGCAAAUGCUACCAAAAUCAGUCAUGUGUCACGUACUGACUUUUUGACAGCUUUCAAUUAUUAUUUAGCAUAUGUUGAAACAAAUGUCUUGUGUAUCAUGGGUUUUCUGCAUGACGGAGUUAAAUUAGCACGGUGCUGACUUUCUGUAGCUUUUCCUAGCUUAUUCCUUUUUGAUGCGAAAGCAUCAGAUGGCUCACUGAGC